AACGAACGCUGGCGGCAUGCCUAACACAUGCAAGUCGAACGAGACCUUCGGGUCUAGUGGCGCACGGGUGCGUAACGCGUGGGAACCCGCCCUUAGGUUCGGAAUAACUCCCCGAAAGGGGUGCUAAUACCGGAUAAUGUCUUCGGACCAAAGAUUUAUCGCCUUUGGAUGGGCCCGCGUUGGAUUAGCUAGUUGGUAGGGUAAAAGCCUACCAAGGCGACGAUCCAUAGCUGGUCUGAGAGGAUGAUCAGCCACACUGGGACUGAGACACGGCCCAGACUCCUACGGGAGGCAGCAGUGGGGAAUAUUGGACAAUGGGCGAAAGCCUGAUCCAGCAAUGCCGCGCGAGUGAUGAAGGCCUUAGGGUUGUAAAGCUCUUUUACCCGGGAUGAUAAUGACAGUACCGGGAGAAUAAGCUCCGGCUAACUCCGUG
rnacentral:rRNA from 1 species